UAACAAAACGGCCCUCCUGUAUACAAUAUUUUCUAUUUUAUAAAUAUAAAGUAAUUUUAUAUAAAAAUUUUAGUUAAUAUUAAUUAAGAAUAUUGUUCUGGUUGAUCAGUUUGUCGGAUGCACCACAUUUUUCGUACGACAUCGAUUUUGUCAGAUAGUUCAAGGGAUUGAUACCGUUUUCUUUUGGGGAAUAGUCUGGAAAUAAAGUAAUUAUGAUGAUUUAAAACAAUAAAUAAUAAGUCAGUUACCAUUUUCUUCAUCAUUAAGACCAAAAGCAUCUUUUCCCAGGUCUUUGAAAGUUCAUGGAACGAAGGUCUUCCUUCAGGAUCCGGAUGCCAACAACUUCUCAUCACUUUGUAUCUAGAAAUUAAUAAUUAAUAAUGUUUCAAUGUUUUAGAUACAAAAACGUUCGUAC